AGACUUGAUACAUGGUCUGGAGCUAUGAUUUUGAACCCUGCAAUGUUCUCUUCCAAGUGUUUUGAUGAAACGUGAUGUUCUUACUUUCAUCCCAAAUCUAAAGAAGCCCUGUAGCAGUCCCAGAGUGAUGGGACUCCCUGCCUGGCCUGAGAUACCCAGUUAGCACCUGCGAAUCAGAAUUUCCUCUUUGCAGCAAUAAAGCAUCCAGCCUUUGCAUCUGUGACAGCCUCCCCUGUAAUUUAUGCAUUCUAUGAUAGAUGGCAUCACUGAUGAAAGGGACAUGAAUUUGAGCAAACUCCAAGAGAUAGUAGAAGACAGAGGAGCCUGGCAUGCUGCAGUUCAUGGGGUCACAUAGAGUCGAACACGACUUAACGACUCAACAACAACCCUUUUCUCCAUUACCCUUGUCAAUGCUUCUUAUCUUUUGACUUUUUGAUAAUAGCCGUUCUGAUAUGAAGUGAUAUAUCAUUGUUGUUUUGAUUUACAUUUCCCUGAUGAUCAAUAAUAUCGAGCACCUCUUUCUAUACGUUUUGGCCAUUUGUCUGUCUUUGAAAAAUGUCUAUUCAGGUUCUUUGCCCAUUUGUAAAUGGAGUUCUUUGGUUGUUAUUAUUGUUUGCUAUUGAGUUCUAUGAGUUUGUUUCAUAUGUUGAUUAUUAACCUAUUAUCAGAUAUUUGAAAGAUUUGAAAAUAUUUCUGGUCAUUCAUACAUUGUCUUUUCAUUUUGUUGUUUCCUCUGUCAUGUAAAAGUGCUUUAGUUUGAUGUAGUCACAAUAUUUUAUUUUUACUUUUGUUGUCUUUGUUUUUGGUUUCAUUCCAAAAAGUCAUUGCCAAAGCUAAUGUCAAGGAGCCUUUUCUCUGUUCUGGAGGUUUAUGGCUUCAGGUAUUACUCUUACAUCUUUAGUCCAUUUGUAAUUAAUAUUUGUGUCUGGUAUAAGUUUCAAGUGCUAUUCUUUUGCAUGCAGAUAUCAUCCACCAUUUAUUGAGGAGACUAUCCUUGUCCCAUUCUUGUCACCCUUAUCAAAGAUGAAGUGCUUAUAUAUGUAUGGGUUUAUUUCUGCACUCUCUAGUCUGUUCCAUUGGUUUAUGUGUUCAUUUUUAUGGCAGUACCACACUAUUUUGCUUACUAUGGCUUUGCAGCAUAAUUUGAAAUCAGGAAAUAUGAUGUCUCUAGCUUUGUUCUUUCUCAAAUUGCAUUGUGAUAUGGGAUUUUUAAAUUGGUUCCUUACACAGUUGGGGGAUUUUUUCUAUUUCUGUGAAAAAUGCUACUGGGAUUUUGAUAAGGGUUGCAUUGAAUCUGUAGAUUGCUUUGGGUAUUAUGGAGAUUUUAACAAUAUUAAUCCUUCUAAUCCAUGAGCAUGGGAUAUUUUCCAUUUAUUUGUGUCUUUAAUUUCCUUCAUCAAUGCUUAUAAUUUCAGGGCACAGAUCUUUCACCUUUACCUUUUUGGCUAAGUUUAUUUUUUAGUAUUCUUGAUGAUGUCAUAAAUUGAAUUGCUUUCUUAAUCUUGGUGGGGAGGGGACCAUUUUCUGUUAGUGUAUAAAAAUGCAACUGAUUUCUGCAAAAGUGUAAAUGUAUCCUGCUGCUGCUGUGGCUAAGUUGCUUCAGUCCUGUUUGACUCUGUGCGACCCCAUAGAUGGCAGCC